UGCGUAGGGUGCGAGCGUUAAUCGGAAUUACUGGGCGUAAAGCGUGCGCAGGCGGUGAGCUGUGUCCGAUGUGAAAGCCCCGGGCUUAACCUGGGAAUGGCAUUGGAAACUGGCUCGCUGGAGUGUGGCAGAGGGGGGUGGAAUUCCGCGUGUAGCAGUGAAAUGCGUAGAGAUGUGGAGGAACACCGAUGGCGAAGGCAGCCCCCUGGGCUGAGAUUGACGCUCAGGCACGAAAGCGUGGGGAGCAAACAGG
rnacentral:rRNA from 1 species